AGUCUCCCAGCUAACUAACCGAUCCCCGUGUCCUCCCCUCCUUCCCUCCCUCCCUCCUCCGUGUCGCCUGUGAGCACCGCACGAGGAUGAGGGUGCUGGGCAGGAACGUGUCCCCGAGGCAGAUCGCGCUGCUCGCCGCAGGGUAGGCAAGAGGCUGGUGUUCUUGGGGGCGACGACGUACGACGUGCACCGCUCCAUCAAGAACAACGACCAGCCCCCGACCAGGGAGCAGGUGGCGGCGCUCCAGGACUUCAUCGACUCCAGAAAGCGCUAAUUUGGAUUUUGGGGCCGCCGAUGCUCGACCGAUUCCCCUGAGCGGCUGCGCGGUGUAUAUGCUUGUGAUCUCUGUUCCGUGGUGCGUUCGUCUGAAUCAAUAAGAGCGGCCAUGGAUGUGUCGACAUUAUUAUUAUUCCCCAAAGGAGCAACUGGCUGGUGUGUAUGCAUGUAUGUAAACCGUGUACAGUGAACCAAUUUCCGUUUCUCCCAUGUUGCAUCGGAAUGGCUUUGUUGGCCAGUGCUCGUGUAUUA